GCCGAUGUAGCUCAAUGGCAGAGCACGGCUUUCGUAAAGCCGGGGUUGAGGGUUCAAGUCCCUCCAUCGGCU
rnacentral:tRNA from 1 species